UCUGAUCAUGGUUCGCGCUAUAUAGGGCGCGAGGAGGUAUCCCGAACUCACGGAAGCGUUAGCGAAAAAAGAAAAAAAAAGGAAAAAAACACUCCCGAUCCCAUCGCCCCCAACCUCGUGCCCCCGCACCAGAUCUCCCUCACCCCCACGCCGCCGCAAGAACCUCCCCGGGGUCCCCGCCGCCGCGCGACCUUCGUGGCUGCCCUACCGCCGCGCGACCUCCCGGGACCCUUUCUGGUCCGCACCGCCGCCCCGCCUCCCUUCCUGGCUGCUGCCGCCGCCCGGGGUCCAAUCAACGACAGCGCCGCCCACCGGGUCCCUGCCGCCACCGCUGGAAGGGGUCCCAUCGAUGGGAGCACCCUGCGACGCACGCUACCCACCGGGUCGCGGUCUUCUCCCUCCACCAGCCCCCGAGUGUGGCUUCCUCUGGCUCCCAUGUGCUCCUCGACUCUGGUGGGUGUGUGUCCCAGCACCUCCCCAUCGACCUUCUUCGACGGAGCUGGCGGUGGCUCCUCCUUCCUGCAGCAACAUGCACUCCUAAAAAAAAGGAGCAUGUUUCCCUGGAUUCCAACUACAGCGGUCGACGUUGUCAAGAAACCCAACUUGCGGUGCGGACUUUCUUCUCGCGACCAAUCUGAACUUCAGUGCCCUACUGACGUCUUCCUCCUGAACCCUGUUCCUCUCGGCGUCCAAUUUUAAACACUAUAAAGUUGGGGAAAUGAUGGUUUAUGGGUUUCAAAUAUUAAUCAUUGCAAAAGAUGUUGUUAGCAUUGUUUUGAGUUUUUAUGUGUGCAUUUUAAUUUGCUAGAAUUUUUUGUAUGACAUACAUGAUCAAGUUCAGAGGACACUUGUGUUCA